UACGGGGGGGGCAAGCGUUGUUCGGAAUUACUGGGCGUAAAGGGCUGUUAGGCGGCCAACUAAGUCGGAUGUGAAAUCCCCAGGCUUAACCUGGGAACUGCAUCCGAUACUGGUCGGCUUGAAUCCGGGAGAGGGAUGCAGAAUUCCAGGUGUAGCGGUGAAAUGCGUAGAUAUCUGGAGGAAUACCGGUGGCGAAGGCGGCAUCCUGGACCGGUAUUGACACUGAAAAGCGAAAGCCAGGGGAGCAAACGGG
rnacentral:rRNA from 1 species